rnacentral:rRNA from 1 species
UACGUAGGGUGCAAGCGUGUCCGGAUUUAUUGGGGCGUAAAGAGCUCGUAGGCGGCUUGUCGCGUCGAAUGUGAAAACUCGGGGCUCAACUCCGAGCUUGCAUUCGAUACGGGCAGGCUAGAGUUCGGUAGGGGAGACUGGAAUUCCUGGUGUAGCGGUGAAAUGCGCAGAUAUCAGGAGGAACACCGGUGGCGAAGGCGGGUCUCUGGGCCGAUACUGACGCUGAGGAGCGAAAGCGUGGGGAGCGAACAGG